rnacentral:snRNA from 1 species
GUGCUUGCUUUGGCAGUGUAUAUACUAAAAUUGUAAUGAUACAGAGAGAUUAGCAUGGCCCCUGCGCAAGGAUGACACGCAAAUUUGUGAAGUACUUAAUUAAAAG